rnacentral:rRNA from 1 species
GACGAACGCUGGCGGCGUGCUUAACACAUGCAAGUCGAACGGAAAGGCCCUGCUUUUGUGGGGUGCUCGAGUGGCGAACGGGUGAGUAACACGUGAGUAACCUGCCCUUGACUGUGGGAUAACUUCAGGAAACUGGGGCUAAUACCGGAUAGGAGCUCCUGCUGCAUGGUGGGGGUUGGAAAGUUUCGGCGGUUGGGGAUGGACUCUCGGCUUAUCAGCUUGUUGGUGGGGUAGUGGCUUACCAAGGCUUUGACGGGUAGCCGGCCUGAGAGGGUGACCGGCCACAUUGGGACUGAGAUACGGCCCAGACUCCUACGGGCGGCAGCAGUGGGGAAUAUUGCACAAUGGGCGGAAGCCUGAUGCAGCAACGCCGCGUGCGGGAUGACGGCCUUCGGGUUGUAAACCGCUUUCGCCUGUGACGAAGCGUGAGUGACGGUAAUGGGUAAAGAAGCACCGGCUAACUACGUG